AUGAAGAAGUUUCGCCCUAUUAGUCUGAGUAACUGCGGUAUAAAAAUCUUCUCUAAAGCUAUGACGAAUCGGGUCUCCCCUGUGGGACGUAGGUUGAUUUCCUCUAACCAAACUGCUUUUAUUAAAGGGAGAUAUAUUUUAGAGAGCGUGGUUAUGUCCCAUGAAGUAAUCCGUGAGAUCAAAAAAUUAGGCUCGCACGGUCUGGUUCUAAAAUUGGAUUAUGAGAAGGCGUAUGAUAGGGUCAGCUGGGAUUUCUUGUUUGAUAUGCUCCAAUCGAGAGGUUUCGGCCCCAAGUGGAUUUCUUGGAUUAAGAGCACGCUUAUCAAUAGCACUUUCAGUGUGAGGAUUAAUGACACUACUGGCCCAUACCUUGUAGGGGGUAAAGGUCUCAAACAGGGGGAUCCACACUCACCUCUGCUUUUUAAUCUUGUUGCUGAUGUUUUUACAAAGAUGCUCAAGAAAGCUGCUUCUCAAAAUUUGAUUUCUGGGCUUUUGCCCUAUGUAAUCCCAGGAGGUGUGAUUAGUCUGCAAUAUGCAGAUGACGCCAUACUCUUCCUGGAAAGAUCCACUCAGAAAGCUAGAAAUUUUAAGUGGCUUCUGUCAUGCUUUGAAAACCUAUCUGGUAUGAAAAUUAACUUUCAUAAGAGUGAUCUUAUGACUAUAAAUAUAGAUGACACAAUUGCUAAUGAAUUUUCUCAAAUCUUUUGCUGUAAAAAACUAGAAAUUUUAAGUGGCUUCUGUCAUGCUUUGAAAACCUAUCUGGUAUGA
rnacentral:rRNA from 1 species